AAUUAUUCACCACCGGGUGAAUAUAAGGAUGUAUCAAGGUUCUCCGUAGGUCUUAGAAGGAGUACUUUGAUACUUUUUUAUUAG
rnacentral:ncRNA from 1 species